rnacentral:rRNA from 1 species
GACGAACGCUGGCGGCGUGCUUAACACAUGCAAGUCGAACGGAAAGGCCCUGCUUUUGUGGGGUGCUCGAGUGGCGAACGGGUGAGUAACACGUGAGUAACCUGCCCUUGACUUUGGGAUAACUUCAGGAAACUGGGGCUAAUACCGGAUAGGAGCCCCUGCUGCAUGGUGGGGGUUGGAAAGUUUCGGCGGUUGGGGAUGGACUCGCGGCUUAUCAGCUUGUUGGUGGGGUAGUGGCUUACCAAGGCUUUGACGGGUAGCCGGCCUGAGAGGGUGACCGGCAACAUUGGGACUGAGAUACGGCCAGACUCCUACGGGAGGCAGCAGUGGGGAAUAUUGCACAAUGGGCGGAAGCCUGAUGCAGCAACGCCGCGUGCGGGAUGACGGCCUUCGGGUUGUAAACCGCUUUCGCCUGUGACGAAGCGUGAGUGACGGUAAUGGGUAAAGAAGCACCGGCUAACUACGUG